rnacentral:lncRNA from 1 species
CACAUUAACCACCACCACCAUUCCCUGAGAAAAAGGGAAGGGCCUAUAAAAACAGGCCUGAUAUAGCACUUAAACUCCACUUAGUUAUUAUUUCUUUUUUCACUUUGCACAUGGUUUAAUCCAUGAAUUGGGGAAGAGGAAUCCAUAAGAAACUAGCUGAAAUGUGUGUUCUGUAUCCAUUCCUAAGAAUGGGGCAGAUAUCUGAGCCCGGUGUCACUCAUGGAUUACU